UGAAAUCUGGCUUUCGGGCCCGAGUUGUAAUUUGUAGAGGAUACUUUUGAUGCGGUGCCUUCCGAGUUCCCUGGAACGGGACGCCAUAGAGGGUGAGAGCCCCGUCUGGUUGGAUGCCAAAUCUCUGUAAAGUUCCUUCAACGAGUCGAGUAGUUUGGGAAUGCUGCUCUAAAUGGGAGGUAUAUGUCUUCUAAAGCUAAAUAUUGGCCAGAGACCGAUAGCGCACAAGUAGAGUGAUCGAAAGAUGAAAAGCACUUUGAAAAGAGAGUUAAAAAGUACGUGAAAUUGUUGAAAGGGAAGCGUUUAUGACCAGACUUGGACUUGGUUAAUCAUCUGGGGUUCUCCCCAGUGCACUUUUCCAGUUCAGGCCAGCAUCAGUUUUCGCCGGGGGAUAAAGGCAGCGGGAAUGUGGCUCUCUUCGGGGAGUGUU
rnacentral:rRNA from 1 species